UUGUGCCUGGCUCCUUGUAUGCCACACAUGGACACCAAUCUUUGGGUGAUUGGUGACUGUGGGUGGUGUGCAAGGAGCCAAGCAUGC
rnacentral:pre_miRNA from 1 species